UACAGAGGUCUCGAGCGUUGUUCGGAUUCAUUGGGCGUAAAGGGUGCGUAGGUGGCGAGGUAAGUCGGGUGUGAAAUUUCGGAGCUUAACUCCGAAACUGCAUUCGAUACUGCGGUGCUUGAGGACUGGAGAGGAGACUGGAAUUCAUGGUGUAGCAGUGAAAUGCGUAGAGAUCAUGAGGAAGACCAGUGGCGAAGGCGGGUCUCUGGACAGUUCCUGACACUGAGGCACGAAGGCCAGGGGAGCAAACGGG
rnacentral:rRNA from 1 species